UACGUAGGUGGCAAGCGUUGUCCGGAAUUACUGGGCGUAAAGGGCUCGUAGGCGGCCAACUAAGUCGGAUGUGAAAUCCCCAAGCUUAACUUGGGAACUGCAUCCGAUACUGGAUGGCUUGAAUCCGGGAGAGGGAUGUGGAAUUCCAGGUGUAGCGGUGAAAUGCGUAGAUAUCUGGAGGAACACCGGUGGCGAAGGCGGCAUCCUGGACCGGUAUUGACGCUGAGGCGCGAAAGCCAGGGGAGCAAACGGG
rnacentral:rRNA from 1 species